UAUCGUAAAGAAUCCACUUUUCAUCAC
rnacentral:sRNA from 1 species